GUUCGGCCGGCGUGUUCAUCGUGGGGAGACCACGAAGAACAGACUGAAGUCGGCAUCCAUUGCCGACUUCAGUUUAUUGGGCCCAAGAACGGGCCCAAAUUCAGAUCUUUACAGUCUCUCUGUUGAUCUUCAAGUUGCCUCAAGGUGGGGCAUGCCUGUAGGUCUUCUUAAUCUUUUGUCCUUGGUCAUAAUUUUGUGGAUUUCUUGACUUAUAGAAGUGUCUGCUUGGUAUGCACUUUCUUGUUGAAGCAGUAAACCAUCAAUGCUUUUCUGUAUGUCAUGUAGGUGACCUAAUGCUUAAUUAUUAUUAGUUCCCAUGGAUGCAAUGCUUCUUGACUCCCACGUGAGUAUCCUGAGCCCUUAGCUGGUAGGCAGUAGGUCACUGGAUUUCAUUGUGAGGGUGCCGAUCUUUUUUGAAAUGGAGCUCUUUGCAUAACGUGGUUGAGUCACUAUUUUCUUUCUCUAUUUUUUUUCCAACUACAAGGACUGUUAACAUUGUGUGUUUUUGGGUAAACACUUUAAUGUAAUUGCAUUGAAUUUUAUAUUAUUUACAACAUUUUCAUUCGGCAAAGCAGCACCACUGAUUAAUCUAGGCUUUACUAAUUCAACUGCAAGAUCAAGAUUGAUUAUCAUAUUUUUUUCCUUGGUAAAUUAUGGCAUUUACAUGCCAUAGAAAACCAAGCAGAUCUGAUCUGAUAUCAUGUUUUAGUUUUGAGUUAUUAGACGUUUAAUACCUUUUUUUGGUAACUGUGAGGUUCUUUCUUUUCGGGAAACAUAUCUGCUUUUCACAUUGAUGUGAAAGCUAGAAAGUUCUGUUCUUCCUUCUACAAACACUCUUUUUGUUAGGCAGUGUUUGUGUGCCAUAACCUAAGGUAGAAUAAAAGCAUGACAUUUUUAAAGUGGUUGCAUCAUAAUGAUGUUCUGUUUCUUCAUUGCUAUAAAUUUUGUCAUCUGUUUCCAUAUCACUUUGACAUGUAAUCAACCUGCACCAUGUCAAUGCUAUUCAAGAUUAGUUGCAGAUUCCAGUACAAGAAUUGAUUUAACAAAACCACGGGUGAAGGAAAUGGAAGAAGGUACUGCACCAAGUGGUACACCAAGCAGUGGAAUCCUCUCCUCUUGGGGUCUUUCAGUGUUGCCAGUACUCCCUCCCACAUUCCUUUUCUCGUUCUCUCAUUUCUUCUCCUUCUUCCUCUUUUCCUCAUUAGCUGUAUGUUGGUUCAUUUAGGGUGUUGAUUGCAUGCCAGAGGGAGAAGUUUAUGGUUUUGAUCUUCAAUGUACUUCUAAAUCCUGUUUCUUGUUUACGGGAGGUCAAUGCUCUACUGGUUGUCUCGGUGCUUCCAGUACCCCAUCUUUCCUCCUCCUCUAUCUUCUCUCUCUUUUCUUCUUCUCCUUCUUCUUUUCCCUUUUUAUUUGUGGGCUCAUCUUGAAUUCUGAUGGAAUGCCGGAGGGGUUCUUGUUUUAGAAUUUUGAUUUUCAGAGUACUUCUAAUUUUUGAUUCUUGAUUUUGAUGGUAACUUAGACAAAGGAGAUGAUAUGGUUGUUUUAGUGAAUUGUUUGUCAAUGUGCAAUCAGACUCACCUGUAUGAUUUAUCUAACCCUUGAUUAUGAUUUUAUUUUUUGAUAGAACACUUGAAUAUGAUUUUGAUUGUCUUUUUACCCUUUUUUCUUUUCAUACUCUUACGAGUCAACAUUGCUUUUAUCUCUUACCUGUGCUAUAAUCGCAGAUUUUUAAGAGCUGGUAUUGGUGGAAGCGUCUUAUGUUCAAGGGAGUCAAGUAAAAGACUUACUGACUCUUGUCCAGCCUCGCAUCUUAGAUUGAUGAUGUUUAGCGGAUAUGAGCUUUAUGAAGGGGAUGCCCUAUACUUGAUAGCAACUUGAUUGUAUCAACUACUUUUUUUUAAUUGAAUUUAUAGUCGAGAUAAUUUCGGAUUAUUGCUCUUGUUAUUGUUUGCAGUAUUACUAGAGGUUUUGUGGAGAUACUUUUUGUCAGAAUAUGUGCAUCUAUGUGGACAUAUUCUGAAAAAAAUAGAUAUUAGAAGGAACUGUGUAAAUUUCAAAUAUAAAAUCCAACAAAUGUAGACAUAGCAAGCAAAAAUGAUAAAGCAAUUAAUUGCAUGGUAUGCAUUAGAUUCCCUGUAAAAUAUUUACUCUGGAAGUAAAUGUUUAGGGUAAAAAACUCUGUUUUGGCAGUGUAACAGUAGUCCCAGUAAAAGUAUCAUUCUUUGUUUGCGUUAGCCAUGGUGCCAUACUUUUUUUUUGGUCGGCUUACUUUCAAUAACGUAUUUGUUACUAGAAAAAAGUUGUUUGGUGUUAAAA